rnacentral:rRNA from 1 species
CCAAGGAGUCUAAAUUGUGCGCGAGCCAUUGGAUAUUAUCUCCAUAGGCGAAACGAAUGUGAUGAGGUUGGAUCAUUUUUAUGCGCACCUCGAACGUGUGCUUUGUUCGCAUUGCGCUCAGUCUGAGUGCACAGAUUAGUACCCGAAAGAUGGUGAACUAUGCUUGAGCAGGAUGAAGCUAGAGGAAACUCUGGUGGAAGUCCGAAGCGGUUCUGACGUGCAAAUCGAUCGUCAGACUUGAGUAUAGGGGCGAAAGACUAAUCGAACCAUC